ensembl:lncRNA
AUGGGAGCUGCAGCAUCCUCCUGCGCCGUAGGUAGGGCCGAGGCGGCGGCGGGGGCUGCGGGGGGAGGAGUUUGCAUGGCGAUGUCUUGCUCGGGGAUCCUCUCUGGAAGGCUCCAGCACAAAGGAGCCGUGCGGCGGCCACGAGCGAGCGGAGCCCGCCCGUCCCCAAGCCCGGCCACCGCCUGGAAAUCAGGUAAAGCCGCCCUUACGUUUCUCUCCGCGCUUUUCUGGAUGGAAACCUGGCUGCCCUCCGGGUGCUGCCGCGUGCCCGGGGGGUGCAGCCCCGGGAGCCCCCCCAGGGGUGCGAUGCCCGCAUGCACCCACGCCCGGGCAGCUGCUGCGGCAGCGCUCCCGAGGGGCCGGCAGCACGCGGGGCCGGGCGCUGCCUCGCCGCCUGCUCCCACCGCAAUGCCACCCCCCGGGAACUUCUCCUUCCCCGGCUAUAAAUCGUCCCCACGCGCAGCCAGGCCCGGGGGCAGCAGCCACCGGCUCCUCAGCAGCGCUGCGGGGCUGGGGGUGCCGCUGCUCCCCCCCCCCCGCCUUUGUCAGGGCCGCAGCUGCGGUGCGUGGUGGGGCCCCCCCGGGCCCGCAGCCCCGGUACCAACAUCACUGCUAACUGAGGCACCGCCUGUUUGUUCUGCUUUUGUUUUUUUGCUUUUUUUUUUUUUUUUUUCAGAAACCUCAUCAAGAAUAGGGCUCGAGACAGUCCCCUGCGCAGCCUCCGCGGCGGAGCAGCCAGGCAGGACAAGGGGACAUUGCACGGCGCUCGUGUAGCCGGUGACGACAGCACCGCCAGCCCCGGGGCGCUGCCCCAGCUCUUGCCCAUCCGGGCUGACCGUGCCCGAGGGAGCCGGGGCACAGGGAGCUGCGAUCGCUGCCAGCACGAGGACCCCCGGAGCUGCCCGGCCCCGGAGCUGCCCGGCCCGGCACAGCCACCCGGAGAGAGCCCGGCCGCCGCGGGGACACAGCCAAGGAGAUGGCGGUGGCGGUGCCUGAGGACACGGGUCUGCCCGCGCGCCGCCCUCCUGCCAGGUGCUGGGGCCCCUUUCCUCCUGCUGCUGCGGCUGGUGCAGGGCAACGGGGAGGGCAUGGGCAGGAUGAGAGCCGUCCCCCUCCCUGAGCGUAACAGAGGAGGGGGAAGGGGACGGGCGAGGAGCUGGCUCAGCUCCCCAGGAGGACACAAUGGCCGGAGCCAGAAGGGCCCCCCGCCAUCCCCACCGACCCUGCCCCGUCCCUCUGUCUGCCGGCAAAGUCCUGGUGCUUUCUACAAGUGCCCUGCACCACUGCUGCCUUGUCCUGGCGGGACCCUGGCUCUGCACUGGGUGUAUUUUGGGGAAAUGCCAGGUUUCUGGACCAGCCUGGAGCCCCGAGGGGAGCAGGGCUCGGCGCAUCCCUCGCGGGGCCGCAGAGGGAUGGCAGCACAAGCACGUGUGCCCUGUGCGCUGCUGAAGGUCCCGACAGGGCACGCGGCCCCUGUGGGACGAGGGCACCUGGAGGCACCAAGGGGCAGAGGGUGCCUGGGAGCCCCUGCCCGGCCUUGUCUCGCUCCUCAGCACGUGCUCAGCACCCGCUCCUGCAGCCGGCCCCACCGAGAGGCGGCCUCUGACGGGGAGGGGACGUGGUGCCAGGGCGCACUGCCCCCGGUCCAUGUCGUGGUUUUCUCCGCCAGCCCUCCUCCUCCUCCUCCCUCUGUGUGCCGGCGGGCUCGGUGCAGAGCCCGGCGGAUGCCUCUGCAGAAGCCCUGCUCUUGCAGGACUGCCCCUGCCCCGUCAGCAGGCACUGCCAGCACAGGCUGUGCCGUGCUCUCGCCGUGCCUUCACCCGUCCCCUUCCUCUGCUUCCUCUGCUUCGGCGCCCCUGCCCUCGGAGCCUCGCGAUGCUGAGGCAAAGGCUCAGCACUGCCGGGGCUGCCUCCUUCUCGGAGCACGGCUCAUCCUUGCUGGUGCCGGGGCUGGGAAACACGACUUGCAGGGGAGCGCUGCUCGGGGGGGGGUUGUGCCCCACCAUCACGGGUGGUAGCGGCAGAUCCUGCAGAGCGAUUCGUUCAGGAAGGGGGUUACGUUACGCAGGCCGAAC